UGGGGAAUCUUCCGCAAUGGACGAAAGUCUGACGGAGCAACGCCGCGUGAGUGAAGACGGCCUUCGGGUUGUAAAGCUCUGUGAUCCGGGACGAAAGAGCCUGAGGUGAAUAGCCUAAGGAAGUGACGGUACCGGAAAAGCAAGCCACGGCUAACUACGUGCCAGCAGCCGCGGUAAUACGUAGGUGGCAAGCGUUGUCCGGAAUUAUUGGGCGUAAAGCGCGCGCAGGCGGCUUCCUAAGUCCAUCUUAAAAGUGCGGGGCUUAACCCCGUGAUUGGAAUGAAAAUGGGAAGGUGGAGGAUCGGAGAAGAAAGGGGAAUUCCUAGUGUAGCGGUGAAAUGCGUAGAGAUUAGGAAGAACACCGGUGGCGAAGGCGACUUUCUGGACGAAAACUGACGCUGAGGCGCGAAAGCGUGGGGAGCAAACAGG
rnacentral:rRNA from 1 species